rnacentral:rRNA from 1 species
UACGAAGGGGGCUAGCGUUGCUCGGAAUCACUGGGCGUAAAGGGCGCGUAGGCGGAUCUUUAAGUCGGGGGUGAAAGCCUGAGGCUCAACCUCAGAAUUGCCUUCGAUACUGAGAGUCUUGAGUUCGGAAGAGGUUGGUGGAACUGCGAGUGUAGAGGUGAAAUUCGUAGAUAUUCGCAAGAACACCAGUGGCGAAGGCGGCCAACUGGUCCGAUACUGACGCUGAGGCGCGAAAGCGUGGGGAGCAAACAGG